rnacentral:tRNA from 1 species
GCGCUGGAAGUGCUGUUGGUGGCACGCCGCCGUUCCACGGCGGAGGCCCAGGUUCGAGCCCUGGCCGGCGCUCGA